GGGGGGGUGGACGGGCUAAAAUUUCAUCGCGUUUUCUUGUAACGGCGUGACUCUUGAUGUUCCCGCUGAAAAAGGAAAAUAAUCGGGAAAAAUAUAGAAAUGGGGGGCGUUAUGAUGAACAGCUCCCGAUGAUUAGACGAACAGGACAACCUCAAAAGAAACGGAAGACGUUGGGCUACGAUCAAUGUCCUCAACCGAAAAUAAAGUCAUCCCAUUUCCUGUCUCUUGUUUCACUUUUUGUGACUCUGUUUGAAACUUGCGCUGGCCUUCAUCAGUUUCAAAUUUGAAAAAAAAUUGGUGCGUGCAAGAGCCCGUCAUCGUUAUAACAAAACUAUUGUAUAGAUAUACGUCAGACUGGCGGACGAAGGCCACCAACAACAUCCGCGCGGGUGAUAAAAAGUUUAAACAAACCCAGAAAAUGACAAGAACACAACAAUGAGCGGAAGUGACUUGUGAUCGGGGUUGGGCCAAAAUACAACGAUGUGUGUAAUAUAACAAUCCCUCCACAUAUAUGUAAGGAGGAAAAUAAAAAUAAAAAGGAGCCAGU